CUAAAAGUGGAAAAAAGGUCUGAGUAAUGCUGUGCUACAGGAAGGGGUUUUUGUGGUCUAUGUAAGUUAUUAAAAUCUACUGCAUUGACAACUUCCCGUGCGGUUCUUUAGCUAUUCAUAGAAAAUAAAACCUCCUAAGUUAUUACUCAGACAUCACAAAGUGCCUAGACAGUUGAAAGUUGGUCCCAAUGACUGUUUUUCCCCAUCCAAGCUGUGAAUACUGGAGGAAACAAUGCAUUUUACUGGAUAGUGCUUGACACCUAAUAGGUGUGUAAUUAAUGUUUCUUUUUAAAAAGCUGGUGAGCAGCAACCUGAAAUUGACAUUUUUUGUUCCUUCACCUUUAAGGGAAAGAGAUCUACAGUUAAAUUUGAAAUGAUGGACAACUUGACCCCAAGAAGACCUUGCUGUAAUUUGAUUUCCUGUUGGCUGUCUCAAAGGAGCCAGAUGGUUCCAGGGCUGGACCUGUCAACAGUUACUGUGAGGAAGAAUACAUUCAGAAACACCAAACCGAAGUAUGAAUAACAACUGAAAAAUGAAUUUGAAGGUCCUCUUGCUUGCUGUUCUUCCAUCUGGACUGGCUCUGUUUACCUGGGCCUCGGGUAGCUCAUUGCUGGCAGAGAUUGAGGCGACCACUAACAGCUUGACUUGUCUGGGUAAACAAGGAAGACUCGUGGGUCAGGCCCUGGAAAGAUGCAGCCGACUGAACCAAUGACUCUGAGACAUUCUGGAUAAAAAGAUGCGGUGACCUGCUGGUCUCCUCACAGGGAGGAAAACAGAAAAAUAAAUACCCGGAUCUCACACUCCA
rnacentral:lncRNA from 13 species